rnacentral:rRNA from 10 species
CUGUACGGCCAUACUGCCCUGAAUGCUCCCGACCUCAUCUGAUCUUGGAAGCUAAGCCGGGUCAGGCCUGGUUAACACCCGGAUGGGAGAAAAGAUGUAAACCUCCAUAAUAAUGUUGAACAUU